UACGUAGGCAGCAAGCGUUGUUCGGAAUUACUGGGCGUAAAGGCGCGUAGGCGGCCAUUCAAGUCGGGGGUGAAAGCCUGUGGCUCAACCACAGAAUUGCCUUCGAUACUGUUUGGCUUGAGUUUGGUAGAGGUUGGUGGAACUGCGAGUGUAGAGGUGAAAUUCGUAGAUAUUCGCAAGAACACCAGUGGCGAAGGCGGCCAACUGGACCAAUACUGACGCGUG
rnacentral:rRNA from 1 species